UACGGAGGAUGCAAGCGUUAUCCGGAAUGAUUGGGCGUAAAGCGUCCGCAGGUGGCUAUGUAAGUCUGCUGUUAAAGAGUGAGGCUCAACCUCAUAAGAGCAGUGGAAACUACAUGGCUAGAGUGCGUUCGGGGCAGAGGGAAUUCCUGGUGUAGCGGUGAAAUGCGUAGAUAUCAGGAAGAACACCGGUGGCGAAAGCGCUCUGCUAGGCCGCAACUGACGCUGAGGAGCGAAAGCGUGGGGAGCGAACAGG
rnacentral:rRNA from 1 species